rnacentral:ncRNA from 1 species
CAGGAAUCUUCAGAAAGCUGCUGAGAUCAGGAAAUCUGAAAUUUAGCAUGGCUGAAUUGGUAGAAUCAGACACUAAAUGAAUUUUAGGUCAGACCUGUUACGAAUGAAGAGAUGAAGAUGAUUUUCGACUAAGAAUAAGGUGAUGCCUUUUGUAAGGUUUCAGCUAAAUCUUUGGAGCAAACGCCACGCUACAAAAAGUCUGUUCUGAGGUCACAGUGUGAGGUGCUCCACUGCUCGCUCAGCAUGUUCCGAGAGGGAAACAAGUGGAAGAGAGCAAUUACCUUUAAAUUUGUAGUCCAAGAAUCUAGGUAAACUCUCCCAGUGUGGUUUGAUGGUAAUUUGGAAGAGUCUUAGCGGCUCGCCUUAAACUCGGCUCAAUUUUACCUGUUCUUCCUUGUGACUGCUUUAUAAUUAAGACUUUGAAGCAGCCUGUUAACUUGUUCUGAAUAAAUUUCUGACAGAUCACUUAUGUUAAGAUCGGUGAGUCUUGGAGGAGCACAUGUGUUGAUCAGAACUUUAUUUAUUUUUUUUCCUUAAACCAAAUAAAAUGACAAUGGUAUAUUUAGACUCAUAUUACAUGUCGGUGCCUUUCAAAAUUUCUACUCCCUUUUGCUGUGGUUGUAAGCAGUGACGUACACUUUAUCCUGCCUUGAAUUAUUGACUGAAAGUUGGAUUACAUCCUCUAGCCCUCUACCUGAGAGGUACACCCAUCAAAGCGUGACGCAGGUGUCCCAAGGUGGGCUCAAGGACAAAAGCCUCCCAUGGAGCAGAAGGGCAAAAGCUCGUUCAAUCUUGAUUUUCAGUAGAAAUACAGACCAUGAAAAUGAUCCUUCUGGCUUUUUCAGUUUUGAGCAGGAGGUGUCAGAAAAGUUACCACAGGGAUAACUGGCUUGUGGUGACCAAGCGUUCCUAGCAACGUCACUUGUUGGUCCUUUGAUGCCAGCUCUUCCUGUCACUGUGAAGCAGAGUUCACCAAGCGUGGGAUUGUCCACCCACAGGAGCUGGGAUUAGACUGUUAGUUUUGCCCUACUGAUGAUGUGGU